ACCGCACCGCAGGUCUCUGGUUGUUUCGAACUUGAUAACGUGCGUGUCUUCUUGGGAAUAAUUAAAAAAUAAAUAAAUAAAUUAUGUUUCUAAUCCAUAACCUAACACAGAUUUUUUUUAAAAAAAAUCUUAAACUAUAAAAAGCUGAAAUUAGUUUUUGUUAUUGGGUACCGUAGAUAUCUCGAACCAGUAUGCUAUCUCCAUGGU
rnacentral:lncRNA from 1 species